GAUGAACGCUGGCGGCGUGCCUAAUACAUGCAAGUCGAGCGAACAGACGAGGAGCUUGCUCCUCUGACGUUAGCGGCGGACGGGUGAGUAACACGUGGAUAACCUACCUAUAAGACUGGGAUAACUUCGGGAAACCGUAGCUAAUACCGGUAAUAUUAUUAAACGGCUUGUUCAAAAGGUGAAAACGGGCUUUCUUUCACUUAUAGGUUAGACCGGGCCGCAUUAGCUAGUUGGUAAGGUAACGGCUUACCAAGGCAACGAGGCAUAGCCGACCUGAGAGGGUGAUCGGCCACACUGGAACUGAGACACGGUCCAGACUCCUACGGGAGGCAGCAGUAGGGAAUCUUCCGCAAUGGGCGAAAGCCUGACGGAGCAACGCCGCGUGAGUGAUGAAGGUCUUCGGAUCGUAAAACUCUGUUAUUAGGGAAGAACAAAUGUGUAAGUAACUGUGCACAUCUUGACGGUACCUAAUCAGAAAGCCACGGCUAACUACGUG
rnacentral:rRNA from 1 species